AGCAGCCGCGGUAAUUCCAGCUCCAAUAGCGUAUAUUAAAGUUGUUGCAGUUAAAAGCUCGUAGUUGAAUUUCGGGGUUCAUCCGUUGGUCGGGCUUUUUGGUCUGUACUGGCGUGAUGGAUUCCUACCUUCUGAAUAACCGGCAUGCCAUUAAUUUGGUGCGCCGGGGAAGCAGGACUGUUACCUUGAAAAAAUUAGAGUGCUUAAAGCAGGCUUAUGCCUGAAUACAUUAGCAUGGAAUAAUGAAAUAGGACGGCAUGGUUCUAUUUUGUUGGUUUCUAGGAUCACCGUAAUGAUUAAUAGGGAUAGUUGGGGGCAUUAGUAUUCAAUUGUCAGAGGUGAAAUUCUUGGAUUUAUUGAAGACUAACUUCUGCGAAAGCAUUUGCCAAGGAUGUUUUCAUUAAUCAAGAACGAAAGUUAGGGGAUCGAAGACGAUCAGAUACCGUCGUAGUCUUAACCAUAAACUAUGCCGACUAGGGAUCGGACGAUGCUAAUUUUUUAAUGACUCGUUCGGCGCCUU
rnacentral:rRNA from 1 species